CAGCCGCCACGGUAAUACAGAGGGUGCGAGCGUUAAUCGGAUUUACUGGGCGUAAAGCGUGCGUAGGCGGCUUCUUAAGUCGGAUGUGAAAUCCCUGAGCUUAACUUAGGAAUUGCAUUCGAUACUGGGAAGCUAGAGUAUGGGAGAGGAUGGUAGAAUUCCAGGUGUAGCGGUGAAAUGCGUAGAGAUCUGGAGGAAUACCGAUGGCGAAGGCAGCCAUCUGGCCUAAUACUGACGCUGAGGUACGAAAGCAUGGGGAGCAAACAGGAUUAGAGACCCCAGUAGUCCCUGUCUCUUAUAA
rnacentral:rRNA from 1 species